AUAUAUAUAUAUAUAUAUAUAUAUAUAUAUAUAUAAGUUUAAAAAAUGUAACAUAACCCAUUAUUUAAAAUAUUGUAAUAUACAAUAAAAAUAUUAAAGUCUUAAAAUAAAAAAAUUAAAAUAUAAAAGGCACGCGGUAAGAAAUUAUGGUUAGAAUUUUAUGAUGGGUAAAUAAUAUAUAUAUAUAUUAAGAAAAUAUAUUUUUUAAUUAAAAUAUAUAUUUGCAGGUAUUCGUGGGUACCCGCAGGUUACCAAAAAUGUCCAUAACUUAAUAUAUACCAACCCGUUUUAUUCUUAAUUUUUUGGUUUGGAAAAGUUUGUAUCCAUAUACGUAAAUUUGUAAGUAACCUAUGAGCACCCGCGGAUAUGGAUCGAAAUUGUCAGGUCUAACGAGGACCUUAAAAAGAAUAUAGUCUUUACAAUUAUGAUUUUUAUAAUGUUUUAGGUGUAUGAGAGCAGGUAUAGACCAGGUGCAGGCAGUAAUUUCUCUGCUUAGCGGGGCCCACCCACGUGCAUUCCAGAUCUGGAUCCCGCGCUCCGCCGUAUGUCUUCCCAACGCGUGGGGCCCACCUCAUCCGACGUGGACGGGGGCUUUGUUUCUAUAGGUUUAAAAAAAAAGGAAAAUGUAUGGAUACCCCUCAGCUAUAAGCUAUUUACGAUAGAUAUUUUAACUAUUUUAUUUUUGAUUGGUACUUAUUUUAACUUUAAAUUAUUUUAACAUAAAAAUAUAUAAAGUAUAUUUUAACUUCUAUCUAAUCUUUAAACGUUUUAAUUUAUCAGCCAAUUAAUAAUUUUUUAACUUUAAAAAUUUAAAUACGCGACUCAUAUUUAUAUAUUUAAUUAAUAUAUUUUAUAUAAUUUAUGCAGCUAUAAAUUUAUUAAAGUUAGUAAUUAGUUUAAAUUUUAUAUUAAAAGAGUCAUCAAAUGAAUUAUUGCUACUUGAAAUAAUUGAAUUAACUUAUACUGAAACUCCAAUUUCAGUGAAUGAACAUAUUAUUUGAAAUAUCUUUUUAAUUUACUUUAGAGGCAUGUAAUAUUUGGUACAUUCGGACCAUGAUCAGAUAAACUGUAUAAUAUAUCAGCAUUUUAAGUUAUUUGGAAAAAAUAAAUUACCUUAUAGACAAAAUAUAUUAUUUUAUUAAAUCAUGAAUAUCAACAUCUUUAUAUAAAGCGUAAAUUUAACUAUUAGCUUCUAAUUAACCACGCACCAAAAAAAAAAAAAAAAAACUCACUAAGUUUUAUUGUACAUGUUACUCCAACAUGCAAACAUGAUCACAGUUCAAUAAUUUAGCGGGGGUGUUUGGUUUCUCAAAAAAUAUUUCAAAAAAUAGUUUUCUGAUUGAAAAAAUAUUUUUCAUCUUUAUGAAUUCUAAAAAAAAAAUAAUCUAAAAAUUUCUUUUUCCAGAUGACAUGAAAAAAUUAUUUUUUUUAUUUUACAAAUUUUCUAUCAGUAAAAUAAAAUUAUAAAAAUAAAUAUUUACCAUGAAAUUAUUAUUUUUUUUUAGAAAAUAGUUUUCCAUAUUUUUUUGAGAAACCAAACAGCUAGCUAGGUAGGCAAUAAGAACUGAAGCAACAGCAGUCUCCUUUCUGCAGGCUGCAUGUGCGAGCCACUUAUUUUUGAAUAGGAAAGGUGGCACAGAGAGGCACGUGAAUUAGUUGGUGCUGGGGACCAUGCUCAUGUUCAUGUUUUUUUUUUUUCUUUUAUUUUAUUUUAUUUAUGAUUAUAAUUGUUGAAUAUAAAAUAUAUGAAAUAUUAUUCUUUAGUAAUUUAAGUUUUUUUUUAAAAAAAAUAAUUAUUUUACAUUAUUAAACAUAGGAUUGACAAUCCAGCUUGCUAUUCGAGAGUCGGUUCAUAUUUGGUUCAAAAUAAGCUCGAGAUCGAUUAUCCGUUUAAUAAACACGUUUGAUGGUAGCCAAACUGUCUCUCUCUCUCUCUCUUUCUAUAUAUAUAUUAUACAUUAUUACUAUUUAAAUUUUAUGCUAGCUCAAAUGUCAAGAGAGUUAUAUUUUGUGAAUUUAAUUAUUACAUUAAGAUUCUAAUUUUUAAAUUUUUUUUUAACUUACCCAAUAGUAAGGCUAAUAAUCUAAUAACUUAUUGUUUGCAAGACAACUCUUAUUUAACUCGUUAAUAAAUAAGUCGAAUAUGAGUUGAACUUUCGAAGUUCAAUAUGUUACUGAACUACUUCGUGUUUGACUUGUUUAAUAAAUAAGAGAAUACAAGCUGACUUCAACUCGCUCAUAUUCGGCUCUUUGACAGCUUUAAUUUAACAUGUUACUAAAAUAAAAGUUUUAUUGAAUAUAUAUAUAUAUAUAUAUAUAUAUAUAUAUAUAUAUAGUUUAAAUUUUUUNAAUAUAAUCUAAAUUUAAAUUCAUAAGUUAGAUUCAAAAUACUUGAUUAAAUUUUAAUUUUUAAUUUAAGUUCAAAUUAAAAUUUAAAAUUAUAUAUUUAAUUUUUAAAUUUUAACUUAUAUUUUAAUUUAAAAAGUUGAAAAAAUAAAUUUAAUCCGAAUAAAUAUCCAUUCCGUCCGGAUUCAACUUUCAAUCCGAUCUCCUAGGCUGGAUUGAAAAAAAGGGUGAUUGGGGCAUUCCCAUUCCACUCGGAAAUCGGAAUCGGAAUGGGACUCCCGUGUACCAAACACCCACAAACGGAUUCACCCAUUCCGAUUCCGAUUCCAUGGUGAAAAAGAAGCGAACCAAACACGCCCUAAGUGUGUUAUUUAAUUUCUUCUAUCUUAUGAACUCAUCAUGAUGCGCAAGCAAGAGACCAAACUGUACAUGUUUCAUUUAGGGAAACAAUUUGAAGUCCCAUAUAUAGUAUCCGCCAUAUAUCUAUAUAUAUCUCCGUACGUAGCAUAUCAAAUCAUUGUGAUCUAGCUAGGCUUUUUCAGAAUCUUGUUCAGUAAAAAAAAAGUAAAUAAUAAUUUCCGCAAUGUUUCCUUUCGUUCUCAUAAAUUAUUACCUCCAUGACUUGUAAGUAGAAACGAUACAAUUUGAGCGGCCCUAGUUACUCCACAUGUAUGUACAGGUAAUGAACUGCUUGAUUGUGGCUCUUUCUCUCUUUUCUUUCUUUCUUUUUACAAUGACUGGAACUCUUACAUAUAAUUAUAAGGAGUACAAAUUAAUUGGCAGAGAGAUUCUGAGGUAGAAAUUCAUUUGAGGUACCAUAAAAGGAUGCAUAGCAAAUCUAUGUUCCAAUUACGAAGGAAUCCAAAUGAGUAGCUUUCGGAAAAGCGACAUGUCCUUUAAUCUCGAACUUCAACGCGCGCGAGUGCUCACCAUUGCUGUAGAAUAAUCUAUUCUGCGUGAUUUGUUGUUUUCGAGCAUAGAUUAAGAAGAACGAUUAUGCGGAAGCUAGACAAUGGCAAAAGAAGUAGCUACAAACUUAAAAAACUUAGGGUUAGAGAAGCACUUUGUACAAUUUGAGUGGCCCUGAGUCACCAUUUGUAUAGUUAAGUUACAUUAAUUUAUACCGCGCGUUUAAUUAGUAUCAAAUUUUGUCAGUUAGAUGACUUAACCAAUUGUCAUUGUCUGUGAUCGAACAAGGACAAUUAAUAAUCGAAUAUUUAAUGAGAUAAUGAUAUGGACUAAUGACUCAUGAAGGAGCUGUAGCUUCCACAAUGAUCAGUGGAAUCAUCUGGUAGUAUGCAUUAUGAAUAGUUAGCUCACCUUAUGACCUAACUGAGCCACUUCUAAUUGUUAUUUACCAAUAGCAUGCAUGCAGCAGGUAACUUUGAAAGAUUUACUUCUUUGAAUACCAUGCAACUUCAACAUUUUGGCUUUUGAUGAUGGCUUUCAAUUCUAGUUAGGAUCUUUAGGUUAGGUCAUUUUAUAUAAGAAAGUUUCAAAUUAUUUGACAACAUUCAAUUUUUUUAAAUUAUAAGUAAUACAAAGUUAAUGUCUAAAUUCAAAAUUUUGUUAAACAUAUUAAAUAUUUUGAAUUUAAAUAUUUACUAACAUUACAAUUUUUUAAAAAUAGUGACACAAAAUUAAUGUCUAAAGUAGAACAAUUUUAAUUUUUUUUAACUAUGGUAGAUAUUUAACUUACGUUUAACCCAAGUUAAUUUAAUAUGUGGUAACUGUAGGGAUAUUUUGAAAUAACGGAAGAAUAUAUGAGGGGUAUAUUGGAAAGAAUAAAAAAAGGUAAAGGUAAAUGAGAUAUUUUCGAAAUUUUAAGGGGUAUAUAGGCAAGUAUCCCUAUAUUUUUCUUGGAGCCCGGCCCGGCCCAUAACUUGCUCAGUAAAAAAGCAACAUUCAUUCACCUUAAUUAAGUUAUUGAUUCUUGUUUACUAAUAUAAUUAUCAUAAUAAAAUCUGCUAUGAGGAGUUAGGAGUAGGCUUAUUAUUCUGGGAAUACUUUUAAUCAUGUUAAUAUUGAAUAAAUGCACCACUACGCCCCUAGGCUAGAGCUGAUCGAAUCCCAGGCGAAGCAUAAAAAUUCAGAAGGGGAGCGUCUACAAGCAUCGAAAUAUCUACAAAACAGAAUGCAGAAGAACUAAAAUAAUAAGAGAGGUCCGUAUCCGGCUAUAAUGUUAUCAAUAGCACCAGGCACUUGUGCUACCAAGUUUUCUACCGUUAGAUCAUCCUUUUUGACUAUUUCCAUCCGUUCGAUCAUACUAUUCAACCAACCACAUCCACUCAACCCUAGAGGACCAUUAUUAUUCGAACCGUAUAUCGCUUCAUCUAAGAGCUAAAAACUUAAUAGCACCAAAGAGGUCCCUAACUGGGGACCAAUUUGAAAAAAAAUAUAUGUUUAAUAAUAGUAAAUUAAAUUCUAUCUAAUAGUUUUCAAACCAUUUCCCUCCAUAAUUAGGUUGACAUGCAAGUUAUGGGUAAUAAUUAAUUCCCCUCAUCAAGUGAUGUUUUCAUAUGGUUGCAAAACUUCUUCUUCUUUUUUUUUUACCUUUAUUUUCUUUCUUUGUCAUAAUAGAAAUUAUAGCAAACUUUUGUUCCAUUAACUUGGGACUCAAUUGAAUAUUCUGUUAUUUUGUGGUGAUCAAUUUGGUCCUAACUCCUAACCUCAUCAUGUGGGUUUUUAGGAUCAUAAUUUCAUUUAAUUAAGUAGGUUUUACGCGAAUAAAUGUGCCGACACUACAAGUAAGGGCGUGUUUGGUUCGAAGUCGGAGUCGGAAUCGCAAUCGGAAUCAAAAUAAGCUGGAAUCGGAAUCGGAAUGACUCAUUACCUAAUUCCGUUUGGUUCAUCACCUGAAUCGGAAUCGGAAUAAAUCAUUCUCAUUGUUGGUGUUUGGUUCAGGUGGAUAUGAAAAACGUAAUCAAAUUAAUAUACGAACGUUAUCUUUAUAAUAUAUUAAUUUGAAUUCAAAUUAAAAAUUAAAUAUUAAAAAUUUAUUAUCAAAAUUUUUAAAUAAUGUCAAAAUUUUAAAUCUAUUUUUUUAAAAAAUAAAUUAAUCUUUGAAGUUGAGUAGAUAAUUCAAAAUAUGAAACUAAAUUUUUAUUUAUUCAAAUUCAAAUUUAAAAUUACAAUUUAAAUUUUAAUUUGAAUCCAUAAAUUUAAUUUAAGUUUGAAAUAAAAUUUGAAUAAACUUCAUAUUUUAUAAUAUAAUUUAAAUUUAAAUUCAUAAGUUAGAUUCAAAAUACUUGAUUAAAUUUUAAUUUUUAAUUUAAGUUCAAAUUAAAAUUUAAAAUUAUAUAUUUAAUUUUUAAAUUUUAACUUAUAUUUUAAUUUAAAAAGUUGAAAAAAUAAAUUUAAUCCGAAUAAAUAUCCAUUCCGUCCGGAUUCAACUUUCAAUCCGAUCUCCUAGGCUGGAUUGAAAAAAAGGGUGAUUGGGGCAUUCCCAUUCCACUCGGAAAUCGGAAUCGGAAUGGGACUCCCGUGUACCAAACACCCACAAACGGAUUCACCCAUUCCGAUUUCGAUUCCAUGGUGAAAAAGAAGCGAACCAAACACGCCCUAAGUGUGUUAUUUAAUUUCUUCUAUCUUAUGAACUCAUCAUGAUGCGCAAGCAAGAGACCAAACUGUACAUGUUUCAUUUAGGGAAACAAUUUGAAGUCCCAUAUAUAGUAUCCGCCAUAUAUCUAUAUAUAUCUCCGUACGUAGCAUAUCAAAUCAUUGUGAUCUAGCUAGGCUUUUUCAGAAUCUUGUUCAGUAAAAAAAAAGUAAAUAAUAAUUUCCGCAAUGUUUCCUUUCGUUCUCAUAAAUUAUUACCUCCAUGACUUGUAAGUAGAAACGAUACAAUUUGAGCGGCCCUAUUUACUCCACAUGUAUGUACAGGUAAUGAACUGCUUGAUUGUGGCUCUUUCUCUCUUUUCUUUCGUUCUUUUUACAAUGACUGGAACUCUUACAUAUAAUUAUAAGGAGUACAAAUUGGCAGAGAGAUUCUGAGGUAGAAAUUCAUUUGAGGUACCAUAAAAGGAUGCAUAGCAAAUCUAUGUUCCAAUUACGAGGGAAUCCAAAUGAGUAGCUUUCGGAAAAGCGACAUGUCCUUUAAUCUCGAACUUCAACGCGCGCGAGUGCUCACCAUUGCUGUAGAAUAAUCUAUUCUGCGUGAUUUGUUGUUUUCGAGCAUAGAUUAAGAAGAACGAUUAUGCGGAAGCUAGACAAUGGCAAAAGAAGUAGCUACAAACUUAAAAAACUUAGGGUUAGAGAAGCACUUUGUACAAUUCGAGUGGCCCUGAGUCACCAUUUGUAUAGUUAAGUUACAUUAAUUUAUACCGCGCGUUUAAUUAGUAUCAAAUUUUGUCAGUUAGAUGACUUAACCAAUUGUCAUUGUCUAUGAACAAGGACAAUUAAUAAUCGAAUAUUUAAUGAGAUAAUGAUAUGGACUAAUGACUCAUGAAGGAGCUGUAGCUUCCACAAUGAUCAGUGGAAUCAUCUGGUAGUAUGCAUUAUGAAUAGUUAGCUCACCUUAUGACCUAACUGAGCCACUUCUAAUUGUUAUUUACCAAUAGCAUGCAUGCAGCAGGUAACUUUGAAAGAUUUACUUCUUUGAAUACCAUGCAACUUCAACAUUUUGGCUUUUGAUGAUGGCUUUCAAUUCUAGUUAGGAUCUUUAGGUUAGGUCAUUUUAUAUAAGAAAGUUUCAAAUUAUUUGACAACAUUAAAUUUUUUUAAAUUAUAAGCAAUACAAAGUUAAUGUCUAAAUUCAAAAUUUUGUUAAACAUAUUAAAUAUUUUGAAUUUAAAUAUUUACUAACAUUACAAUUUUUUUAAAAUAGUGACACAAAAUUAAUGUCUAAAGUAGAACAAUUUUAAUUUUUUUUAACAUAUUAAAUACAUUGAAUUUAUAUUUUUUUUCACCUACAUUCAAUUUUUUUUAAAUAAGUGAUACAAAAUUAAUGUCUAAACAAGAGGAAUUUAAAAGUUUAUUAAACAUAUUAAAUAUGUUGAAUUUAAAUACUUACCGAUAUAAAAUAUUUUUAAAUAGUAAUACAAAAUUCAUCUAACUUAAAUUUAAUUUUUUUUAAUUUAAAUAUUUAAUAUUUAAUAUUUAAUAUUUAAAUCCAACAUAUUUAGAAAAUAGUACUACUUCUAAUAUUCCUAUAUUUUAAAUUAAUGUUUAAAUUAGGGAAACACUAAAAUUUCUAAAAUAAAUGCCUGGAUUAAUGCCUAAAUUUGGGAUAUCAAUCAAUUCCUCAAAUUAGUGCAAAAUUAAUGCCUAAAUUUAGGAUAUCAAUCAAAAUUUUCUUUAAAUUUUGAUUGUUUAACUACAAAAAUAACCUGUAAUGAAAUAACCUUUUUACUUGUUACACAUUAAAAUUACAUCUUUACCCUCAAUUGAUCAACGGUUAAGAUCUUUUUUAUUUUUUAUAAAAUAAAGUACCGAAUCAUUUCUCAUAUAAAUAUUGAAACAACCAUCCUGUGGUAACUUAUUAAUUAAGCUAUUAGAGAGAACAACAGUUGCUUCACACAUUAUUUAACAUGUGAGGUGAUCCUUGCUUGAGGGGAAAUAUCAGAAUAUGCCUUUUUUUUAAAAAAAUAAAAGAAGAUGUUUUGGUAAUUUCUUAGCUUGAGAUGAAAGAUGAGCACACAGAAAAGGAUCGGAGCUUGUUUGAGAAGUUUCAUGGUAAAAGGAUACAGCUACAUAUAUAGGGGGUGUUUGGCCUAGCUUUUAAAAAGCGCUUUUGGGCUGAAAAGUGAUUUUCGGCUUAAUAGAGCGUUUGGCAACUCACUUUUAAAAUCUGAUUCUACUUUUUAGAAUCAGAAAACUGAUUUUGAAGACCUCAGAAUCAGAAGCAGAAAAAAGCUGCUUCUUGAAAACUGAUUCUGAUUUUGGAUUUAAACUUCAAAAUUUUAUUUUUAUUUUAGUUUUAAUAUUUAAAUUUAAUUUUAAUUUUAAAUUUUAAAUUUUAUUUUUCAGAUUCAUUUUAAAAUUUUUAAAUUUUAACUUUUAAAUUUUAAAAUUUGAAAUAUAGAUUUUAAAUUUUAAAUUUUAAUUUUAAAUUUCAAAUCUCAAAUUUUAGAUUUUAAAUUUUCAAAUUUUAUUUCAAAUUUCAAAUUUCAGAAUUCAGAUUUUAAAAUUUCAUUUCAAAUUUCAAAUUUCAGAUUUUAAAUUUUAAAUUUCAAAUUUCAAAUUUUAAAUUUAAUUUGAAAUUUUAAAUUAAUUUCAAAUUUUAAAUUCAAAUUUUAAAUUUUAAAUUGUAAAUUUCAAAUUUUAAAUUUCAAAUUUGACAAUUUAGAUUUUAAAAUUUAAAUGUAAAAUUUAAAAGUAUUGUAAUUUUACAAUUAUAAAUUUAAUCUUCAAAUUAUAUAUUUUAAAUUUUAAAAUUAAAAAUUUAUAAAUUUUAAUUUCAAAUUAUAAAUUUAAAUUUAUAAUUAAAAUUAAAAUUUUAAUUUUAAAUUUUAAAUAUUCAAAUUUUAAAUUUUUAGAUUUUAAAUAUUCAAAUUUUAAAUUUAUAUUUUAAAUAUUCAAAUUUUAAAUUUUAUAUUUUAAUAUUCAAAUUUAAAUUUUAUAUUUUAAAUUUCACAAUUAUUUUAAAUUUUAAAUUUAAAUUUUAAAGUUUAAAAUUUAAAUAUAUUUUAAAAUUAAAUAGCUUUCUAAAAUUUUUAAUUUGGCCAAACAGCUUUUUAAAAUCACUUCAGAAAAAAUCAUUUUAUCUAAACUGCGCGAACGCUUCUAACAGGUUAAAAAUCACUUCUACAAACCAAAAUCACUUUUUCAGAAUCAUUUUUCAAAGCUAGGCCAAACAGGCCCAUCAAUAAAAGUUCAUCAUACUUUUCAGAAAUCAUUUCAUGGUGGAUUAUAGAUUAUAAGCAGGAAUUUGGGGUCCCUUUCGGCUCUCUUUUGAACUCUUUUGUUAAAAGUUGCCUAAUUUUCGCUAUACAUUAUUACUAUAGCAGCGGUGUAGUAGCUUAGGCUUAUUACGGGAUGUUUUUUUUUUUUUUUUUUGAGAGACGAUAAAGUAGCAUUUACCCAUUUUGUUUAUUCAUUUUAAAAAUAAAUUUAGCUGGAAAUGUGAAUCAACUAGAAUUCGAACUUGGAACCUAUAUUUCAUUUAGGUGUUAUGUAUAAUAAUAUUUGCUAAACUUGCCUUCAUUUCGAUCGCAAACUCGUUCCUAGCUUCCUGGAUCAUAGAUCUUCGUAAGAAACUAAGAUCUGCUAGCUAUUUAUAAUAUAGUGCCUCCAUUUCUUCAGGAACGAUGAUAUAUAUUAAUAGUCCUAAUUGAUAUUGGCAAACAGAUCGAAAAUAGAUAUGUCAAUAUCGUAUUUUAUAUUUUAUGCUACGCGGAAGAGAAUAAGGAGAUAUGGUGUAUCGUGUGUGACAGAUAUUAAUAUGACAUGUCAUUUCACUCAUUGAUUUUGGUAUACUAAAGGAUAACACUAAAAUAGCAUGCACAUGCUUAUGUAAGUUUCCGAGUACGUACACGAAGAAGAACCAACUUGCAACUAAAGAUAGCAGAAAAUCUGAAGAAAGGAUGCUUUGCUGCUGUAAUGUUUGUGCUAGGGUUCGUACCCUGUUGGACAAUAGUUUGGAGAGAAGUUUGAUAUUUUGCACAUGAUGUACCAAAUAAAAGGUAGGCAUUGUAUCUUCUAAAUAUAUAAUACUAGUAAAGGCACUUGUGCGUCGUGGCGAAUUGAUUAUAUAGAAACAAAUAAAUAAAAAAAAGCAGAAGAAAGAAGAAACAAUAAAAGUAUAAGAAAAAUAAAAGAAGAAGCUAUAGAACAAAAAAAGAAAUAGCUAAAAAAGUAGUAACAACUGCAGAAAAAAUAUAAGAAUAAAACUAUAAGAAGGAUAAAAGAAGAAUGAAGGCAAAAAUUAUAAAAAUAAUAAAUUAUAUUUAUAGCAGCAAUAAAAAAUAAUAAGAAUAAAGAAGAAGCCAAAAAAAAAGAACCAUGGUAACAACAUUAACAAAGCCAAUAAAAGAAAAAAAGAGAAGAGAAAUAUUACGCGUGUGAAUCAUUUGUAAAAAUAAAUUUUAUACACUACAUUUCUCAAAUCUCAUUAUAAAAUUUUAAAUUAUGUUUUUUUUUUUUUUUACAUAUAGUCUUUUUAUAUGAUUUAAAUUAUAUGUAUUAAAUAUAAAUUUUAAUUUUAUAAUAUUAACACUUGCAAAUAAACUGUAUAGAAAAAAAAUGAGAAAGAACGAUUGAUGGAGAAUAAAAGAGACGGGGAGAAUUGCGUUGGAAUAAAAACAUAUCAACAUGAGAGGAAAAGAAGAAUUGGGUUGAAUUAAAGCAAAAAAAAAUAGAAAAAGAACCUCACUAGGUCCUGCACAUGUUUAUUGGAGUAACUCCCUACUCAUUUCACAUAUUUAUAUAGAUAGAAAUAAAAAAUAUAAAUUAAAGGUGUCCAAAAUAUCCGCUAUCCCAUACCCGACCCGGACUCUAUCCGGACCCGAACUGGACCCGAACCGGACCCGAUAAAAAAUGAAUAGUAUACGGAUAAAAAAAAUUACCCAUUAAAGUUUCGGGUAUGGGUCCGGAUAUUUUAUACCCAUACCCGAUUUGGACCCGACCCGAACCUAACUUUUAAAUGGGUAGGGUCUGGAAUAAUUUUCAAAUCCGGACCCGGACCCGGACCCGAUGAAAUAUCCAAUAAUAAAUAAAAAAAAAAUAAACUUUUGAAGUUGAAGGAUCAAUUUUAAUAUGACUUAUAGAUGAUGAGUCACUACGUAUUUUCAUCCUAAUGAAACCCUAGCCGUCUCUUUUACUCAUUACUUUUUUCUAAUUUUUUACUCUUUGUUUUCUACUCUUUUUUUUUUCAUUUUAUUUCCGCCAACAAUAUUUCAUUGUCAUCAUCAUCAUCAGUGUCAUCAUCAUCAUCAUCAGCGACAAUAUUUCUUUUGAAUGAAUUUUAUUGGACGGUACAACUUAUUAGAAUGCGAGUUUUUUUAUAGUGUGCUAUAUAGUUUGUCUAUUGACUAUUUAAUAAAGUUUAUAAAAAAAAUAUAUUUAUACGGAUAUCCGUACCCGAUCUAGACCCGAUCUAUAUCCGGUCUUGAACGGAUAGUAUACGGGUAGUCACUACCUAGACCCGCUCAAAUAGACCCGAUGGGUAUAGUAGUAACUUUAGUACCUAGAUCCAGACCCGACCCGAAGUUAAAUGGGUAGGGUAUAUAUAUAUUUUUGUAACCAUUUCUUUUUAGGGUAUGGGUACAGUAUAUUAAUUACCCAGACCCGACCCGGUCUACAGACAUCUUUAAUAUAAAUAAAUAAAUAUAGAUGGUAAUAAAUGUACUAAUUAAGGAUUGUCAAUAUUAAUAGAACUUAGUAUUUUACAACCAAAACGAUUUGAUGGUGUAUUAAUGCAGAAGGAAACCAACUUACUGAAAAUAAUAAUUUUUUUUCUCUAGAUAUAUAUUCAAAAUAAUAAUAAUAAUAAUAAAUUGAUUGGGACGUAACGGUCCCUAACUUCAAUUUGAUCUUCCUGAUGUGCUCUUCAAGUGAAUGUGUUGCAUGAAAUGGGACUUCAUUUGUUGGCGUAGUACUCGUGCAAUAUGUCAACUAAACAAAUUAUCCUAGUUAGUAUUUAGAAAGUUUGCAGGAAAAAUCUCUUAUCUCUAUGUAGAAAAAAAAAAAUCUUUUUUUUUAAUAAUGCAAUAUAUAAAAGAUUUAUCAAGCAGAAAUCUAGCAAGUAGGAUAUUUAAUCCCAUAGUAUAACAGAGAAUAAGCAAAGAUGGAAGCUCGUUCAGAGACCGGAAAGUAAUAAAAAAUGGGGAAAAGAAACCACUAUUCUCAGACAUAAUACACAAGAAUCCCCCACAUUCAAUAGCAAAGAAACAAGAAUAUGCAUCAACAAUUGAUAUUAAGAUAAGUGAGCUUAACAAAAUAAAAAGAAAUAACCAACUAAAAGAAUAAAAGCAAGAGAGUCAGCAAAUACAUACUCUUGAGAGUAAUGACAAGAGACAUUAAUUGUGCCCUCAUCUAUCGCCAGUUCCUCAUGUUGAUUUAACAUUUCAUUGCUAAAUGCAGAAUCGGCAACAAGAGGUGAUCUUAACCAUUGGUUUUGAGCCUGAAAUGUGUUGUUAUCUGCAUCUAAAAGAAACCUCCUUUAAGACUAACAUUACUGAACCAUCCAACAGAGCAAUAGUAUAUGAGCAAAAGNNNNNNNNNNNNNNNNNNNNNNNNNNNNNNNNNNNNNNNNNNNNNNNNNNNNNNNNNNNNNNNNNNNNNNNNNNNNNNNNNNNNNNNNNNNNNNNNNNNNNNNNNNNNNNNNNNNNNNNNNNNNNNNNNNNNNNNNNNNNNNNNNNNNNNNNNNNNNNNNNNNNNNNNNNNNNNNNNNNNNNNNNNNNNNNNNNNNNNNNNNNNNNNNNNNNNNNNNNNNNNNNNNNNNNNNNNNNNNNNNNNNNNNNNNNNNNNNNNNNNNNNNNNNNNNNNNNNNNNNNNNNNNNNNNNNNNNNNNNNNNNNNNNNNNNNNNNNNNNNNNNNNNNNNNNNNNNNNNNNNNNNNNNNNNNNNNNNNNNNNNNNNNNNNNNNNNNNNNNNNNNNNNNNNNNNNNNNNNNNNNNNNNNNNNNNNNNNNNNNNNNNNNNNNNNNNNNNNNNNNNNNNNNNNNNNNNNNNNNNNNNNNNNNNNNNNNNNNNNNNNNNNNNNNNNNNNNNNNNNNNNNNNNNNNNNNNNNNNNNNNNNNNNNNNNNNNNNNNNNNNNNNNNNNNNNNNNNNNNNNNNNNNNNNNNNNNNNNNNNNNNNNNNNNNNNNNNNNNNNNNNNNNNNNNNNNNNNNNNNNNNNNNNNNNNNNNNNNNNNNNNNNNNNNNNNNNNNNNNNNNNNNNNNNNNNNNNNNNNNNNNNNNNNNNNNNNNNNNNNNNNNNNNNNNNNNNNNNNNNNNNNNNNNNNNNNNNNNNNNNNNNNNNNNNNNNNNNNNNNNNNNNNNNNNNNNNNNNNNNNNNNNNNNNNNNNNNNNNNNNNNNNNNNNNNNNNNNNNNNNNNNNNNNNNNNNNNNNNNNNNNNNNNNNNNNNNNNNNNNNNNNNNNNNNNNNNNNNNNNNNNNNNNNNNNNNNNNNNNNNNNNNNNNNNNNNNNNNNNNNNNNNNNNNNNNNNNNNNNNNNNNNNNNNNNNNNNNNNNNNNAUAAAAGAGAAAAAUAUGCAGGUAAAAUAAGAUUCAUUAAAUAAGAGAAGAUUACACCUGACUCCUCUUCUGCACAGAGUAGCUACAACCCGAGCCCGGCCUCUUUCUUGAAUCUCUUCUACCCUUCUCUCGCCUUCUAUAAACCCAUAAAGAAGACAAUCAUCCACGCGCACCCGUGCACUAGGUGCACUCAGUAACUCUCUCUCUCUGGUACGGCACCUCCAGGCUCUCAACCGUACUCUCUCAAAAAAGAGAGCUACAAUGCCUAUUUAUAAUGCUCAACUUAAAACGUACCACAAUCCUAAUAUAUUUAGAAUUCAUACUUUAAUUAAUAUUUAAAUCUAUCUUAAUCAAUCUCUAAUAGAUUUAAAUAUUAAUCCUAAUCUAGUUAGAUUUAUCCUCUAAUUAAUAUUUAAAUCUUAAUUUAUCUCAAACAGAUUUAAAUAUUAAUUCUUAUUCAAAUAGGAUUUAACUACAAAUCUAACCAAAUCCUAACAUCUAAUCCUUUGCCUCUUUCGUUAGGAACAGUCGUUAUUUGUUGUUGCAUGGUUCAAAUUAUAAUUCGCCCUACUUUUAUAACUCUUUUUUUUUUCAUCUAUAGCAUAAUUAAUUGCCAUGGAGAGCAUAGUAAUAAUGUCCAAUUACUAAUAAAAGAAUGUUGCUUUCUCUGCAAGAGAUAUUGUCGGCACCGAAGUAUAUCAUCUUUCCACCUCCCAAGUCCCCAAAAAAUUCUUCAUAUAUGAUAAAAAAAGUCGACCACGUUGUAAUUAGCAUGCGCACUAAUUAAACAUUAAUAUUCUCUUUGCACACCAAAUGCCACUGCACGCACAUACGUUUAAACAUAGCCUUUUCCCUACAAAUUAUAAUUAACUAUGCGAAGCUCUUAAAAGCAAUUUGCAAGAGGGACCAGGGAAGGUGCUAACUUUUCCACCAUCCCCACCUUCAAUUAAUCCUCUAAUGGGGAAAGUUGGGCGAUUAUUUUCAUCUACCUAACAAUGCCGUACUCUCCUUGCAACCAACAAAAUCAUAUAUAUUACAUAGGCGAUAUCAAAUUCACUGCUAUAUAUUCAGAAGAACACGUUGAGGUAAGCGUUCACGCAAGCGUUGGCGCAGCAGUAAGAUUGCUUAUGUUUGAUACUUCUAGUGAAAACUUUUGACGAACUUUUUCUGUUUAUUUGGAUGUCGGAUAAGCUAUUCAGCAACUUAGAUUCUCUUUUACGCUCACAAUUUAUACAACAUCGAUCAUUUUUAGGUCAUGCUAGGAAGUAUAUAUGAAAGUUUUAUUAUGCAUACUUCUUUCGUCGAUCUGAUCAAAAAAUUUGUGCUAGUUUAUAUAAAAAGUGAGCACGAUUAGAUGCUUGAAAAGGCAUGCUAUAGUUAAACUUCCGAGUGAGCUUUCAGUAAGAUAUAUAUAUAUCAUUUUGUACACGAAAUAUAUUAUCCUACGAAAUCAUAGCUUCAAGAGUUUCCAAUAAGAUAAAAUCAAAUUCCUAGCUUGUAAUUAUCAUAUUUAAAAAUCUCAAUAUCACAUCGCAAGUUACUAUGGAAAAACAUAUUCUGAUAUUCAAAUAUAACAUUAAUCCCUUAUAAAAGUAUAGUUUAUUUGGAUAAUACAAUUCGCCGAUUUAUCUUAUUCUAAACAGCUGAUUUUUAAGGUCCUCAUUUAUCAGUUACCAUAUGUAUAUAUAUAUAUUGAGGUAAGUAAAUAAAAAAUAUGCUGAACAAAAAAAUUCAUGCAUCAUAUCUAGCUAGAACUGUAUAUAUUAAUUCUUCUUAGAAAAUAAAAUUUAUUAUCUAUCGAAGGUUAGGAACAAGUACAGAUAGAAUUAAUGUUCUGUGAUUUAGUGCCAUACUUUUUGCCGAACUAUCCAUCGAGAGAAAAUUUAUUACCACAAAGCAGAAGCACUUGUGCACUUACAAACCAUCGAAGUUCAUGCCCCCGCAAACGUCUAAUCGCUGCUUUGAUCUCUAUUAUUAUAUAAGCUCAAAGUGAAUGCAUGGGGUCUACUGCACACUCUAAUGCAAAAGAGCAAUAAAGGCCCAAAAGAAAGUGGGUGACAUGAUGUAAAACGGAUCUUUGUCUCUAUUAUAUAUGUAUAUAUAUGAGAAGAAGAUAUGUAGAUGGGGACUGAGGGGGAGUGAGAGCAUUAAUUUGUUCCUUAAUACUUUAUAUAUCUAUGGAGAUUCCAUAUACUUAUAUAUUAUAGGUGUAUUUUGUGUGUACUGCUGUAGUGCUGCUCCAUGAACUGUAUAGGAAGAUUCCAUAAUUAGAAAAGCCAACAUUCGACUCUUAAUUGAAAGCCGCAGCAUUCAUCCAAGCUUCUAUUCUUUUGUUUGAUGUGUUAGGAUUUGAUUAGAUUUAUAGUUAAAUUUUAUUUCGAUAAGAAUUAAUAUUUAAAUCAGUUUGAGAUAAAUUAAGAUUUAAAUAUUAAUUAGAGGAUAAAUCUAACUAGAUUAGGAUUAAUAUUUAAAUCUAUUAGAGAUUGAUUAAGAUAGAUUUAGAUAUUAAUUAAAGUAUGAAUCCUAAAUAUAUUAGGAUUGGGUACCUUCUUGAUGGAGCAUUAUAUAUAAUGCAUUAGAGUCUCCUUUUGAGGUGAGUAUGGUUGAGAGCCUUGGAGGUACCGUACCAGAGAGAGAAAAAGAGAGAGAGAGUUAUUGAGUGCACCUAGUGCACAGGUGCGCAUGGAUGAUUGUUUUCUUUAUGGGUUUAUAGAAGACGAGAGAAGGGUAUAAGAGAUUCAGAAAGAGGGCUCGGAUUGUAGCUACUCUGUGCAGAAGAGGAGUCAGGUGUAAUCUUCUCUUAUUUAAUUGAAUCUUAUUUUACCCGCAUAUUUUUCUCUUUUAUGAUUGUAUCAGCUUUUGCUGAGGAAACGGGUUUAUGGUAAAAAUUCGAUUUGAUGCUUCCGUUGCGGAAUCCCAACAAUCGAUAUCGGAUCCACAGCAGUCGGUAUUGGAGCGGGUUGCGGAUUCACGAGAUCCGGUACCGGGGCGAAUACCGGAUUCCCAACAAUUGGUAUCAGAGCCGAAGGUUACCGAUCUGUGGGAGAGAUCGACGGAGAUGGCCACAAAAUUCGAAAUCGAGAAGUUCAACGGCAAGAACAAUUUCGGAUUGUGGCAGACUAAAGUACAGGCAAUCCUCGUACAGCAAGAGUUAGACGAGACGUUGAACAGGGAGGAGGCGAAGCCGGCGGAGGUCACGGAUGCGGCAUGGACGAAGAUGGAGUGGAAGGCGUUGAGUACGCUUCAUCUAUUAUUAGCAGAUGAGGUUCUUUACAACGUAGCCAGCGAGACAACGCCGGCGAAGUUGUGGAAGAAAUUGGAAGAUCUGUACAUGACCAAGUUCUUGACGAACAGAUUGUAUCUGAAGCAGCGACUGUUUACGCUGCGGAUGCAAGAAGCGGCGAACCUACACGAGCAUCUAAACGAGUUCAACAAGGUGGUGGCACAGUUGACUAGCAUCGGAGUCAAUCUGGAUGACGAAGACAAGGCGUUGAUCCUACUAUCUUCGCUACCGAUGACAUAUGAGCAUCUGGUGACCACAUUGCUUUAUGGCAAGGAGUCCAUAAGCGUGGAGGCGGUCACGGCGGCGCUUCUCUCGAACGAGAUGCGGAAGAUGACUCAGGAGUCCGGCACGCAAAGUUAGGAUGUAGAACUGGUGGUGACUGCGAAGAAGGAGGCGAGAAUAUCGGCGACUGGAUAUAAACAGAAGAAACAGCUAUCUGAGGUAGAACGCUUUUACUGUCAUAGGAAGGGGCAUAUCAAGCGCAAUUAUUGAAAACUUCAGGAUGAUCUGAAGGAGUUAAAGCGACAGAAGGAGCAAACUGUCGUGAACCAGGACGAGACGGUAUCAGCGACGGCGCAGACAGCAGAGUCGGAGAUGAUCGAUUCUGAUGUGCUGUAUGCGGUGACCGGAGGUGCGAAAAUUUCGGACGAUGUGUGGGUACUCGAUUCGGCGUGUUCUUUUCACGUAUGCCUAGAGAAUGAGUCUUUUGCCACCUAUAAGGCGACCAAAGGUGGAAAGGCGCUAAUGGGGAACAAGACAGUGUGCAAAGUAUUGGGAGUCAGCAUGGUGAAAAUCCGAAUGCACGAUGGGGUCGUGAGGAUGCUGACAGGUGUGCGGCACGUUCCUGAAUUGAAACGGAAUUUGAUCUCGUUAGGCGCAUUGGACUCGAAGGGUUGCGAUAUUUUAGCUUCAGGUGGAGCUAUGAGGGUCCGAAAACGAGAUCGGGUCGUAUGCGAGGCGAACAAGCGUGGGAACUUAUACGUUCUGAACGGGAGCACAGCCAGAACGAGAGCGAAGACGGUUUGGGUUCCAAAAGUUCGCGGAUAUGCAAUUGCUCGAGACGGAGCGACGGAUGCGGCGACAUCUCGAGCGAAGGAGACAAGCUCAAAGUGGAGCUUGCAUGGUGAGCUCGACGUAGCGGUUGAAAAUUACAAAUCAAACCAAGGUGGAGAAUGUUAGGAUUUGGUUAGAUUUAUAGUUAAAUCCUAUUUGGAUAAGAAUUAAUAUUUAAAUCUGUUUGAGAUAAAUUAAGAUUUAAAUAUUAAUUAGAGGAUAAACCUAACUAGAUUAGUAUUAAUAUUUAAAUCUAUUAGAGAUUGAUUAAGAUAGAUUUAAAUAUUAAUUAAAGUAUGAAUCCUAAAUAUAUUAGGAUUGGGUACAUUCUUGAUAGAGCAUUAUAUAUAAUGCAGUAGAGUCUCUUUUUGGGGUGAGUACAGUUGAGGGCCUUGCAGGUGCCGUACCAGAGAGAGAAAAAGAGAGAGAGAGUUAUUGAGUGCACCUAGUGCACAGGUGCGCGUGGAUGAUUGUCUUCUUUAUGGGUUUAUAGAAGACGAGAGAAGGGUAGAAGAGAUUCAGAAAGAGGGCUCGGAUUGUAGCUACUCUGUGCAGAAGAGGAGUCAGAUGUAAUCUUCUCUUAUUUAAUUGAAUCUUAUUUUACCCGCAUAUUUUUCUCUUUUAUGAUUGUAUCAGCUUUUGCUGAGAAAACGGGUUUAUGGUAAAAAUCCGAUUUGAUGCUUCCGUUGCGGAAUCCCAACAAUCGAUACCGGAUCCACAGCAGUCGGUAUCGGAGCGGGUUGCGGAUUCACGAGAUUCGGUACCGAGGCGAGUACCGGAUUCCCAACAUGAUGCACACAAAAAGAGAGAGAGAUUGAUCUACAAAUUUUCUUAAAUCUUAUGUUCCCGUGCAUAGUAAAGAUCAGCGAAUCAUAUCAUGUAUAAUGAUAGAAAACGUAACCGAAAAGACAACUAGAUAAAUUGAUGGCAUUAGUUGACAAAUAUGAGAAUUAAACGCAGGAUGGCUUAGGUUUUAUUCUAAUAUCAUGUUACUGAAGAAUUCGCCCUAAUAAAAAACGAUUUAGGAAGAGUAUUAUUAAUAUUAUGUUUAGUUGUUAAAUAGUAUGUGUAUACAUACUUGUAGUAUCACUACAACAGAAUUAGGUUAUAGGGACAUAUGUUUGGGACACUUUUGAGUAAGUGUCUCAUUUAUCCUAAAAUUUAAAAAAAUAUCUACUAAUGCCUAUAUAUAAAGCCCAAUCCAAUAAAAAAUAAAAGAUUACUCUACUCAACCCACUACACCCAGUCCAUUUGGCCCGAUUACAAACAGAAAAGAAAAAAAAAAGAAAAAUCAAUUACCAUCUUUUCUUCUCUCUUCACUCAAUCCACUGAAAUUCUAGACGAAGAGCCUUUCCUAUUGUCCUCCUCCACCACUGCAGCCAACGAGAUAGAGUUUCGACGGUUGCUAAAUUCUUAAAUAAGUGUUGGUAAAUUAGCAGCACUCUUUUAGGUUAUAGCGACACUCUUUAACUGUCACUAUAUACCUAGCGACCCCACAUAUAGUAACACUUUUUAAAAGUGUCGGUAAUUUUAGCUAGCAGCACUUUUUGACAUAUACCUAAAUUUAAAAGUGUUGCUAUAGACCGUUUUUGUUAUAGUGUAUAUAUAGUAGUUCAUUCAUUUCAUUUGGUGUUGGCUCCAUUCGAAUUAAUUGAAGCCUCUUGAUUCACUAAGAUCACUAGAAAUGUAAGCUCCACUAUCUUGAUUUGCUUGAUCUAUGUAUCCAAUAUCAUGGUUGGAAUUAUAUUAAUUAUGUUUCCGUUCUUAUCAUUGGAAAGAGGCAAGCUUUGUAGUGUAGUUGUCGAAUAUGCAUGAUUAUGUAGUGAGUGCUCUAGUGGCCCUCAAAAGAGUCGCAAGUAAGAAGCAGCUAAAAUGUACGAAUAGUCCUUAUAAAAUACCGACAGUGUAACUUAAUUGGUUCCAAUUGAUAAAAUGUAUAAGAAUGCUCAAUAAUCCAUAUUCUAAUCAAGAAUUAAAAUGUCGUGGCAUCAGGACAUACUGGCCGUUACUUGGCACAAUACUGUGUGGCGACACAAGGCACUCUUGUGUGCCGACACAAGGCACUCUUGUGUGCCGAUGGGCAUGCGCGCGCAGCCUUCUAGCUAGUGGCAUGUUUUGGCAAAUUGCCAAGAUCCAUCCAAAAAAAUUACUAUAAAAUCUUGAUUUUUUUUUAAAAAAAAUUGUGAGAUCUAUUUAUGAAAAUUUACCAAUAAACUAUAUGAAUAAAUCGAAUUUAAAUAUCAAUUGAUUUAAUUUAGUUUUUAAUUUUAUUAAGAUCUUCAUGUUUCUCGAUCUAAUCAUUGAAUUUUCAAAGUUAAAAAUAUCAUAAAUUUCAUAAAAAUAUUAAAUUCAUCCAAAAAAUUAAAAAUCGGAUCAUAUAAUGACUAAAUCGAGUGAAUUUAUUUUCAGAUUUUAGUAAAUUGUAAAUAAAAAUUAAAGUGUAUUAUUUUACGCAAAAAGUUUAAAAUCUGUCAAAUAAGAAGUUUACACCUAGUGUGUUUGGUUUCACGUAAAACUGUAGAAAAACAAAAUUUCAGUGGAAAAAAAAUUUACGUCGUUUAGUAUUUAGUUUGUAGGAAAAGAAAAUUAGUUUUCUAUGACAGUUAUUUGAUUGAAAAGAAAAAUAUAAUAGAUAAAAAAAUAUUUAAUAUAUUUUUUAUUAUAUAUAUUAUUAAUAUUAAUAUAUAAUAAUAAUUAUACUAUAUAUAUUAUUAUAAUAAUUUCUAUUUAUAGAUUAAAUAUAUUUAAAAUUAUAAUAAAUAUAUUAUGUCACACCCCGGAUUACUCGUUCUCCGGGCGCGCCGACAAAUCCGCCGUAUACAAAGAAAUUUUCUCUGUAUACGAAGCGAUAGCUGUACCUGUAAAUCAUAUAAUACUACAAACAGUAGUAUAGAGCUGGUAGAAGAACCAAUAAUAAAAACAAACCGAGUUCCAUAUACAUACGCCAAAUCCAAGAUACAAUACUACUCACACUGGCGAGUUAAUAAAUGUAUGUACAUGAACUCCAACAAAAAUAACUACCUGCUGUAGGGGCACCUCUAGCUUGGCUCGUUGGGUAGGGCUCUAACUCGCAACGCCCUUGCCUCGAUCCUGAUCAGCAACAGCAGUAACCGAAGACGAUGGCUCUGCAAAAACGGGAUAACAACAGGGCGUGAGAACUACUGUAAAACAAAUAGUCCUCAGUGGGUGCCGCCCUCAACAACAUCGGUCCACCAACUAAGUCUACAAAAGGGAGCAAUGGUAGUAAUAAAUGCUGGAAUGAAAUCUAUAGCUAUCAUUUAUUACACUAUCAUGUUCUAAACUGACCUACUGUAAAAAUGUCAAUCCUGACCCAAUCUCUUUAAGGACUGUAAACAUACCCGUCCUAGAGACUGUGAACACACCCGUCCCGCUCAAUUGAAACUAUCUAGCUACCUCCACACUAUCCAGUCCGUGGAGAGCAGGUCUAACUGGCAUGAACGACACCAACACGAAAGCACAACACCCGUCUCCGAAGUGGCACUCGUGGGAACUACCCAACCGAGUAUGCAGUGUAUCUCUGUCGAGCUCAAUCAGGCUCUCUCAAGCCAAAGUCCAAGUAACCAACUCUAACUGGUCUAACAACCAACAGGUCACGUGCCGUCGGCACAAUCUGAUACCAAAAAGACGAUAUGGGUCCACCGUCAACCCCGACGGCAUCAAACAGUCCGGAACAGGCUGAACGUUACUGUAAAAAUACACUCGGCAUCCCAGCACGAGCAUAACUGAAAGCUAAACUACCUGGGGUACCCGUCGCCUCGAUACUGCGACGAUACAAAAUUACAACGGCUCCUAGAACUAAACAGGUAAUGUAAACAGGUGACAGGUCCAAAUCGCUGGUUUUCUCCUAAGUCAAGUUCCAAGUCCAACAUGUAUAUUUAUGGUUUACUAAUCAUGUCCUCAAUGCUGAUUUCAUCCAUGAUACAAUCAAUGAAAUUGAACUACAACAUGAUUUACAAAAACUGGAAAUCAUACAUGUCGACUAAUACUGUGCUUAGGAAAUAAACCGAUGUAACUCACCUUAAUUGCUAAUCCUGCCAACAAAGAAGGUCCCUCAACUGUGGGACACCCUGUCGGAACCAGCCGCACCUGCUUUCAGCUAGCAAAGAUCCACGAUCAAGAUCUAAAUAUCAAUUCCACUAAAAUCCACCAAAAAAAUCCAAUUUCAGCACUUAAGCUUGGAUUUCUCCCCACUCCAAUGUUAAAACUCAUCUAACGAUCUCCAAAUCAAGUGAGGACAAUCUCAAAUCCAGCAAAUACUGAUGGGUGAUGCAUCUCAGUUCCAAAAUCCCACUGCCUACAAAGAUAGCAUCAAGAAAAGCUCAAAAAUCUCAUUUUCAGCUCAAUAUCAACAGCAGUCCAGAAAAACCUCAGUUCGACCAAACUAAUCUCAACCAAAAUCUGUAAUUCAGGGCUUCCUGGAUUCCUCUGGAAGUCUAGAAUCUAGCAAACCAAGUUUCACCACGAUCCGACCUUCCUACGUCGCGUACGAGCCAAAACACUGGAGGCCGUCGCUGCAGGACUGCAGAAUCAGCACCUAUCAAGCUGGGAAUUGUGGAUCUUGAAGCAAUUUGAGUAGAUUUGAGGUUGAAAAUGCAAUUUAAGGGUUCACUGUGAAGAAUGGUCGAAAAGGCUUCACUGGGGUCAAGCUCCCCCUAUUUAUAGGGUGCUGGAAUGAUAAAAUAAGCCCCAGGUUCAAAAGCUGCUAACCUGGUGUCCCUGCAGAAACAGGCAUUUCUGGGCGCCCGAAACCCAAUUCUGGGCGCCCGAAACCUCCAGGCUGCACAAAUCUUCCUCCUCGGACUCUCCGCUCACGGUGUGCUGCGCCCGUAAACGGCUCCGACGGAUCUCACCUACCACCAGCCACGUGUCAACACAAACGAUAUUCACGAUGUAAAAUUUUCGGACCCACUUCUGGGCGCCCGGAAUAUAGGAUCCGAAUUGACUUCCAGUUCUGAUCAAAUCUGCACUCAACUUCUGGGCAACCCAAGACCUGUUCUGGGCGCCCGAAUCUGGCAAAAUUCCAGUUUUGCUUAUUUGAGUGCGCCGAGUCCAUUUCUGCAUCCAUUUCUUGCAGAAACGACUCCGACUCAGUUCGACACUCUCCAGAUGUAUCGACCAGUCACUAACAUUAAAGCCAAUCCUAUCCAAAGUUCAAAAACACUAUAUAUUACUUACAUAUAUAUAAUAAAAGGAAGGUCUACCGUGGACCUCCCUAUCACACGGUCCACGAGGCCGAAGUGGCCAUGUGGACCAUACAAAAUCGCUGUCAUGAUCCGUAAUUUUUUUUGCUGUCUUUUCGUUUUUCACGGCUCUUGCGUGGAAAUCAGAAGGGAGAAUUUUUCGCGUAUAUGUAAAAUUAUUAAUCAUGAAUUUUUUUUCUACGACGAACCAAAUAAGCCGCAAACUGAUUUUCCACAGAAUUUUUUUUUUUCAUCCACUUUUACGUCAAGCCAAACACACUCUAACCAUUUGUUAUCGAAACCCACGUACAUACUUUUCAUUUGCAGGUUCUACCAAAGUUGACAAACAAAAAAGGAGUUAGUACAUUUUGUCUUUAUUUCUUAACUCGUAGGGAGAUCACAAUUGUGCUUGUAACAAAAAUAAGUAUGAUAACAAUACAUGAUUGUUAAUUAUUAGGAGAAUAAUAUUAAGAAUAAAGCGAGGAAUUAAUAGUACAAAUUCUAGAGUUAGUUAGAAAACCAAUUUCAGAGGUUGUAGUUUGGAUGAUUAGCAACCUAACCUUUUUGUUCGCUUUGGCUAAUGCUAUUGAAAGGGAAAAAUUAUCCCCUCAUGCGAAUUGUGCCUUAAUUAACAUACAGUUUACAUUAAUUGAUAGUCAUAAAUUAAGCUACCGACUGUCCCUAGAGCAAGUGCCAAAGGGAUUUGUGAUUGGUACUCGAGACCCAAGUUCGAAUCCUAGUUGAUUCACAUUUCUAGCUAAGUUUAUUUCUAAAUGAAAUAAACGAAGCGGGUAGCGUGCUACCUAUCUCUCAAAAAAAAAAAAUUUAUUCUAUGAAAUACCUCAAUUCCGAUUCGAAGAUCGUGAAGACNACCUAUCUCUCAAAAAAAAAAAAAAAAAAAGAUAGUCAUAAAUUAAGCUUCAUUAAGGCUAAAUAAAGCCCUAGCAAGCUACUAUAAAAACCAAGCCUAAGUAGGCCCAUGCAGGAUGGAAUCCACUUUGCACCACUACUCAAGUUCAAAAAUAUAAAAAUGUAUAAGAGGGUCAUCCCAUUAUUUAUUGCUUGAGAUAUGCUUAAAGUUAAACUUUUUAUCUUAAACAGCAUAUCAUGGACUAUUAAUUAAUUCUAAUUUAAAAAAAAACAACCUUUGUCGAAUCAAUUUCAAACACUUGGUGUAAAACUAAGGGCUUGUGCAGUGCUAGUUGACGAAGUGUUAUAAUUUUGAGCAAUGCUUUUGGAGGAACGCACUAGUGAAAUCUCUAGAGGUUCAAAUUGGGUCUUUAAAUAUAACUUUUCGCAUCCCGCGAUAGCAAAACUUUUCUGCUUCGUGACAUAAUAUGACAUACUAGGAUACUACUAAUUUUUUUUUUUUUUUUUUUUUUUUUUUGCAAUUGAUAUUUAUGGGCUUUGUUUGACCUGGACUAAUUAUGACGCACCUCUGAACUUGUCUGUAAAUUUUGAGAUUUAAUUGUCCUUUAACUCANAAAACCUUUUCACACUUGAGAAUUACCUAGAGGAUGGUGGAUGAGGUAAGAGGAGAGUGGCUAAAAGAUAACUUUAUUCUCUCUCUUUCUUUUUUGAUGCAAAAAGCAUAAGAAUGUUGUCCUUAAGUCAAACUUGAUAUAUAACUUAGUUUGGAAGGAGAAUGUUUCUCAAUCCCUUGCAAAAGUUUUGCUAACAUAGGAAGGAAUAACUCACUUUGUGAUACGUGGGCCAGUUCGAGAGAUUAUAAAAUUCUGAAUCACUCAUUGGGGUUCUUAUUUUAAACUAAUUAAGCAAGCACUUUUAUAAGUUGUUUACAACACCUUUAAUUACAAAGGGUGAAGCCAAUAUUAUCAAAGUAAAUGCUUGGGUCGAUUCUCUCAUUGUAAAGUUGCUUAUAUAUUAUUAAUGUGUUGAUAAAAUUAUAUAAUCGUUUUUAAAGUUAAAUUUUAAUUUGCUUCAUUGUGGUAUAGUGUAUUUUCAUUUUGUCACUCCUAUGAUUUAAUUUUUUAUUUCAAUGAGAAAAGCCUAUUGACGGAUAUGAAAAUAAAGUAAAAUAUUUUGAAAAUCUCAAGGUGGUAAUCUAUUUAACAAUAGAUUCUUAUAGUGAAAUGAAAAUAAAAUUACAAAAUAAUUAAGUGUAGCUUUUUAAAAAACCUGAAGGCGGUACCUGUAGCAAUAAUUUAUUAUCAAUGAGGAUACCAAGCAUGCAUAAACCAUAAUAACAUAUCACCCACUACAAUUUUAAUGGAUUAGUAGUGGUGUCUUAGUCGAAUUGUAUAAACAAGAUGCCCUACUACUCUUUUUAACCUUUUAAUUGUGAUUCACUUUAAUUUUCCAUUUAAUGAUUUGUAUAUUAUAUGUGGUGUGGUCUGUUUUGUCUUCACCAAAUCAAAUAAUAGUUAUUUAAUUAACAUAACCAUAUUCUUCAUCGUGCUGUAAAAUUGUCUCUGCUCAAUUCUCUAUCCUUUCACAAGUCCCCUAAUUAAUAUAAUUCCGCGCAUCAUGCAUGCAUUCCUACACCAAAUAUAUAUUUGAAAUAAACAAAACAAAUAGCGUACUAUCUAUCUGUUGAGCCAGUUAGGCGCGAACAGCUGGCACACCGGGUCCACAUCCGUAAGAUGGCUAAAACGGUACACCGGACGUAUACAAGCAGUACUGGACCGAGGAGUUAUAACAACCGCAAGCAGUUACGAGUGGUUCUGAUCGGCCGAAGAUGGUCCUACGAAUCAGGAGAUAGUGGCUGAUCAUGCAAGAGCAAUAACUGACGCAAAGACGGUUCUAUAAAUAGGCAUACGAUACCCUGAAAAAGGGUCUUCGCCCCUGCGCAUAAAAGACCACAUUUAUUUUUCUGCAUCUUUCAAUUCCCGCAUCUACUGUUUUUCCUUAGGAGUAGUUCCUGUAAUUUAGCAUACUCGGAGUCUGUCUGUCCUACGGGCAUCACUCCCCUGUUUCCAUACUCGGAGUCUGUCUGCCCUACGGGCAUCACUCCCUUGUUUGUGUACUUUUUUCUUGUGCUGUUCAAUAGAAAGUCAUCUUCAGCUCUUCCUGCCGAUCAAAUCACAAGUUUGUUUGGCCAUUCGGCUCGUUUCUUAGUCGAAUUCCGGGCUUCCCCUCUCCAUUCGGCUCAUCCUGCCGAAGCGAAUUUACUGCGGAGGUUUUCGAACCCGGCUGAUUCGAUUCCUCAUCGGCUUAAUCGCUUGAUCCUCUAUAGGCGCAUAUUUCAAGGGUCAUAAUCCGCAGCCGUCUAGCAGCCCGACGAUCUUCCCGAGGAGAAUUGUUGACCGGGUCAAGAGUCGGGACGUUCAGCACGCAACACUAUCUCUCAAAAAAAAAGAAAAGAAAAUAGAGAGCAUGUGAAAUAAGGGAGCUUUUUUUUUCUUUUUUUUCCCUUGAGGAAAAAUAAAGCUAGCUGAAUUUAUUUAAGACUUGUUUAAUUAGUCCUCAUUAUGUAGGAAUUAAGAACAUAUUUGGUUCCAAGGAUUUAAGGCUUGAAAUGAAAAUCAGAAUGACUCAUUACUAAUAAUGUUAGUGUUUGGUUUGGCAAUUUUGAUUUUCAUUUUCCGGAGAAAAUUGAACCACACCUAAAGUUAUUCCCACCAAAAAUUACUCCCACCGUAGAGGUGAGAGUCAACUUUGAUUUCAAGAAGGAUCGAGAAAAGAAUUUCUUUUUAUCCGCUAAUAAUUUUUAAAAUUUAAAUAUUAAUAUGUAUAUUUAAUUUUAGAAAAUAAAAUUCUAAUUUUAAGUUUGAAUUUGAAUUAUAAAUUCAAAUUUUAAUUUUUAAAUUUUUUAAGUUCAAAUUAGAUUCUAAUAUAAGUUUGAUAUUUGAAUAUAGUUCUAAAUUUAAAUUUUGACUUUCUACUUGACUUUGAAUUAAUUAUAAAUUCAAAUUUUAAGUUUAAAUUUAGAUUCAAAUUUUGAUUAUGAAUUUGAAUAGCAAAUUUAAAUUUUAAAUAAAAUUUAAAUAUUUUGAAUUUUAAUUUGAACUUGAUUCUGAUUUCAUCUUCUCUUAUGAACCAAACAACUUAGAAGUUUUUAUCAUUAUGUUUUUUAUUACGGCCCAUUUUCACUUAAACCCACAUAAAUGUGGCAAUUUUUUUAUCAUAUACUCUAUAGAAACGAUAACAAAUUUUCUGAUGUUUUGUAUCUCCCUGGUUUAUGUGGUCUAUCUCUUAUUGUAAGCAUGUAGCCUUGUAGAUCAGUAGUAGGAGAAACUUCAAAUGCCCCACUAUAAGAUAGUGCAUUUGUGUAGUAUAUAAUUAUAUUAUCUUUUGAAGUUGGAUGCUUUGUCCUUAAUUUCAUGACCUCAGUGUUAAGUUUUUGUUCAAUGCUCAUCCAUAGAAAAUCAACAAAGAUUUAUUGCUUAAAAAGAAUUAAAGAGUGAUAAAAUGCAAAUUACAAUAUGGUACAAUAAGGUAUUUUACUAUUUUUUUGAGAAUAUACUUCAAUUAUUAAUACUUGUAUUUUGAAUUACAGAAUAUUAGUUGUUGAUAAGCAGCUAUACCUGACCAAGGGUCUCUUUGGCUUAGUUGUUAGAACAGUAAUUUUUGCUGAAUAAAUUUUAGUUUGAAAUUUUGUUUUUAUUUAAAAGUUGCAUAACAUUUGGCUGAGUUUACCAAAAAAGUAAUUUUUUUGGAAGUGAUUUCAUAAAAUGCUGGUAGAUAAUUUUUUUUUCCUACUUGGACAUAAUAAUUUUUUUUGCUAAAUUUUAUUUAAAUAAAAAAAAGAAUAUAAAUUUUAAAUUCAAAAUUAUAAUUUAAAAUUUAAAAUUAAAAAAUUUCUAAAGCAUCAGAUAGUCUUAAUGAAGAAAAUUCAAUUAUUUUAUAUAUGAGACUUAGUGUCUAAAUUUUAUAAUUUCUCAUACAUACAUAGGUCAUUUAAAUAUUAAAGAAUACAUACAAUAAGUUAAAUUUUGAUUAACAAAUCUUUUCCAUACCAACCGUCCCUAGAGCAAGUGGCAAAGGGCUUGGUGAUUGGUACCCGAGACCCAAGUUUGAAUUCUUUGAUUCACAUUUUCAGCAUAGUUUAUUUCUAAAUGAAAUAAACGAAGCGAUAGCAUACUAUCUAUUUCUCAAAAAAAAAAAAAAUCUUUGCCAUAAUUUUCUAGAGAUAUGUUCUAUAAGAUAUACUUGUACACUCGGCGCACGCAGUACUUUUUCGGAGUGGUGAGGCUCGGUCUAUACAUCGUAGCUCGAAAUCGUCAACUGUUUGGGUACGUCACACAUUUGUUACGUGAAUCGAGAUCACGAAAAGAAGGGGUUAAGAACAUUUGUUACGUGAAUCGAGACCAUGAAAAGAACGGGUUAAGAUUUUGCAUGCCAAAGCACAGAAAACGUUAUUAUUAGAGAAAUUAGAUUUCCACAUCCAAAUCCGUAGGUUUAAACCUGAUUAGUUACCUAAAACAUAGAUUCACACAAUUUUCUGAACGAGAAUGAGAUCGCAAAAUACCAUUUGUUUGACAUGUUUUAUAGGAGUAAGUACCAUUAACUUCUUGAAACAUAAAAUAUAAAUAAAUAGAAAUAUUAGAUACGCAAACUCGUAUAAAAUAUGUGGAAAACAAUGCUACCAUACUAUCGUAUAGGGACUUAGAAUGUUAAAAUCUCUAAUUCACACCAUUAACUGUUUGUGAUAUUAUCUACCUUGUGAUCAAAUAUUCAUGUCAAAAUGAAAGAUACAAAUUGAACCAUCCUUAAAAAAUAAGGAUAAUUUUUUUAAGACUAAAUUACAGAAAUUCCUCCUGUCAAAAUCCGAUUUUUCACUUUUCCCCCCUGUCAUUUAAAAACCUACACUUUGCCCCAUUGUAAAAUGAAAAAUGUGCACUUCACUCCCUACCGUUAGUGAUCCGUUAGGCUUUCGUUAUAAAAUAUUUUUUUAUGCCAAAAAUACCCCUCUGCCCUCUUCCCUGUUACUUUGCCUCCCUCCGGCUCGCCGCUUCGCCGCCGCCUCACCCUCCUCCACUGCCUCGCCCUUGCCCUCGCCCACAUCCCCUUCGCCCUCCUCCAUCGCCUCGCCUUCGCCCUCAUUGCCCUUGCCUACCUCUCCAUCAGCGCCCACCUUGAUUUUCUCCCUACUGUCACCGAAAGCGAGGGGCGGCGAGGGUGCAGGAGGAGAAGGGGAGCAGGUGGAGAAGAAAAUGGAGAGAAAUCGCGGCGGAUCGAGGUGUGAAUCGUAGCCGAUCGAGGCGGCGAUUGAGAAAGAUGAGGGAGGAGACGAAAAUGGUGAGAGGCAAAAUGGUCAUUUUACAUACCGUACCUUCCUGUGAACAUUUUUCAUUUUACAAGGGAGCAAAGUGUAGGGUUUUAAAUGACAGGGGAAGUGAAAAAUCGAGUUUUGACAGGAGAGUUUUAUGUAAUUUAACCUUUUUUAAUUCAAAAUUAAGAAUGUUUAUCUUGAUCUAACUAGCUUCUUUGUCAUUGAAAUAUUAUAUUGUUAAGAUAUAAACUCAUCAUACUAGUUAUUGAAAUUUUGAUAAUUUUGAGAUGUUAUUGAAGAUUUAGCUUCUUGGUUAUUUGGGGAUCUUCUUGGCUACUUGCCUACUAGUGACAUUUCUUGUUUGUCCGUUGCUAGAUCUUUGGUUAAUUAAUUCUCCAUUUUAUAUCAUAUAAAAAAGAUAUAUUUUCUUUCCCACAUCUCUCUAUCUCUCUCUCUUUUUUUCUCUUACCUAAAUCGCUUGUAAUUCGGAUGAUUACGAAUUUAAACUUCAAUUGGAUAAUAAUUCGAUUGGCGGAGUUGUUGCCAAAAGAUUAGGAAACAGUUAACAUGUCGUCCUCGUAAGGCACAUAGUUAAACAUCAUGUUAUCUAUAUAUAUAUAUAUAUAUAUAUAUAUAUAUAUAUAUAUAUAUAUAUAUAUAUAUAUAUAUAUAUAUAUAUAUAUAUAUAGUAAAAUUAAAGUACAAAAUCCAUCUGCAAGAUCUUAUGAAAGGUACCAUAGAAACUCAAAGUUACCCUACCAAAGAUUAAAAAGGGAAUAUUUUUUGCACUGAUUCUAUUUCUCUAUAAUAAGAUUACUUCAUCUCGUAUGCUAAAUUAUUCCUUUUUUUCUUUUUUUUUAAAUAAAUGUUCACGGUACUAAACACAAAGUUUAGGAUAAUAAGCACAAACUGGGCCCACGCACACAUAAAAGUGACACCGAGAGAAUAAUAUAAAUAGGCCAACAUAACCCAACAUCAUAACUCCCGAGCUUUUCCUCUCUCUCUCUCUCCCUCUCUCUCUCCCCUUUGUAUUAUAUCUUUCUCUACACUUGGAUCGAUCGUUCCACAUGAAGAAGAUAAUAUCUCCUAUUUUGCGCUAAAUCCGGAGAAACCCUUCUCAUUUCUCUCUCAUUCUAUCCAAAACAAAUCCACUUGCGGAUAAGUGCCACGCCCGAAAAGCAAAAAAAAAGAAAAAUCUAUCCCAACAAAGCGAAUUAAGCACGUAAGAGGGUGUUACGAAUAUCCCAGCACACCAUGAUGAUCCCAACAUAAGUAGAGGAAGCCCUAGCUAGCUUGCUACUUCCUUAGCACCUAUUUGAUCCAUGGAUUGUUGGAGGGAGUCGGAGGGCAAGCGCGUGCAUGAUCCCCUAUUCUACCAUUUUCCGACGACGGAUAAUAACAACACCGACGACGACAAGGACGACGAUGAUAAAGAAAGCGAAAGCGAUAGCGAUUGCGACUGUGUGGCUGUGGAGGGGCCGAUAAUAGUCGGGGCGGGGCCGUCGGGGCUGGCGGCGGCGGCGUGCCUGAAGGAGAAGGGGAUUCCGAGCCUGAUACUGGAGCGGUCCGACUGCAUCGCGUCGCUGUGGCAGCGGAAGACGUACGACCGGCUGCGGCUGCACCUGCCGAAGCAGUUCUGCCAGCUGCCGCUCAUGCCGUUCCCGUGCGGGCUGCCGGCCUACCCAACCAAGCAGCAGUUCGUCGCCUACCUCGAAUCCUACGCCGCCCGCUUCGCCAUCCGCCCGGCCUUCGGCGUGGCGGUGGCCGACGCCUCCUUCGACGGCCAGUUCUGGCGCGUCAGGGCGCACUGCUGCAGGCCGGCGGCGGGAAAGAAGACUCGGGAGUACGUCGGGAGGUGGCUGGUCGUGGCGACGGGGGAGAACGCGGAGCCGGUGGUGCCGGAGAUCGCGGGGAUCGGGGAAUUCUCCGGGGAGGUGCUCCACACGAGCGCAUACCGCAGCGGCGAGGCCUACCGCCGGAAGCGCGUGCUCGUCGUCGGCUGCGGAAACUCGGGGAUGGAGGUCUGCUUGGAUCUCUGCAAUCACAAUGCCCAGCCCUCCGUCGUUGUCAGAGACACGGUCAGUAGUUGCAUGCGUUCACUCACCUCCACUACUCUUCCCAUUUAUUAAUUUUUUUUCACAUGAUAAUUUUGUUCUUAUAGUUAAUCAUUGACUAGUUAGUGCGCAAACUCUUUCUUUGGGCUUGUGAAAUUCCAUGUAGAUAGCUAGAGACAUAUCAUGGAUAAGUUCCUUUGGCUCCAACGAAGGUGUAUUAACGAAAGUGAUAUGAAGGCUCAAUUUGAGUCGUUCAUUUAUUGUACCUUUUUAUAUCUACUGUUAUAUAAUUAUGUUUAAAUAGGAGAGUAAUGAAUUGAAGUAAGCAAUUAGAUUUGCUCUCCUACCCCUCCCUCUCUCUCUCUCUAUUGAUAUUAUAGUAUUUUCUUUUUUAAUUUUCUUUUCAACGGGGAAGUGGAUACGGAAGUUAGUUUUGAUCAAUAAAUAAAACAAUCCGAAAUAAAUUAAUCAUUAACCCUUCCAUACAGUGCAGUGAUUGACUUUUUCUUUUUUAAGAAAGGAUGGUAGCAUGCUAUUAUAUAUUUUUUUUAAAAAAAUAAAUUUAUCUGAAAAUAUAAAGUAAUUAGAUUUCAAAUACGAAAAUGUUUAUUUUUUUAGAAAUAAAAUUAUUGUAUUAUUGUUUAAAUAAGUACAACAAACUCACCUAUUCUUAUUCUAAAAAUAAUAACUCCAUUUUCGUAAAAAUAAAAUAAAAUAAACAUGGCCUAUAGUAUAGCAUGCGAAGAAAGAUGGAUUCGCCAUGGCAGGCCCUUUUCUUAGUAAAUCUCCACCCUUUAUUGGGAUUUGGGAUUCAUCCUCACGCGUCGGAGCCGCGCCUUAAUUCCUUCAUUGUCUCGUGCAACUUUUUUUUAAAUUCUUUUUUUUUUCUCGCUUUAAAAGCUGUACAAAAUAUCAUAAAAGAUAUUGCACCAUUACCAUUCUAUGGGCCCCAAUUUCGCCAAGAACAAAAGCAAUUGAUCUCAUACGAAGUACCAACAAUCUUUUAUUUUUGUAAGCAAUUUGGCUUAUUAAAUCCACACCCUCCCCUUGUUUAAUUACUACAAUAUAUAAAGAUUAAUUAGUUUAGAUAAGAUUAUAUGGAGACUGCACCAAACAUUUUAAUUCUUUCUUUUUUAAGUCUAUGAUCAUCUUUGCAGGACUCCUUUUUUAUCUCUCUUUUAAAUAUCAUUUUUUUCAUUCCCUUUUAAUUAUUUUAUAUAAUUUUUUUUUUGCAGGUGCAUGUCCUACCCAGGGAGAUGCUGGGUAGCUCCACUUUCGGGCUGUCAAUGUGGCUCCUCAAGUGGCUGCCCAUGCGGGCAGUGGAUCGGGUGCUCCUCCUCGUGGCUCGUCUAAUGCUCGGCGACACGGCCCGGCUCGGGCUCCCGCGGCCCCGGCUCGGCCCGCUGGAGCUCAAGUCGCUCUCCGGCAAGACCCCCGUCCUCGACGUUGGCACCCUCGCAAAGAUCAGAUCCGGAGACAUCAAGGUCUUCAAUUGAUAUGAGCAAAAGUUUUAAAUUAGAGCUUCUUAUUAUAAGCAGGAAUGUUCGGAAGAUUGUUAGAAAGAUUCUUAUUGCACUACAGGUGUUUCCUGCAAUCAGGCGAUUCACUGAACAUGGAGCGGAGUUUGUAGACGGGAGAUCAGAGGACUUCGAUGCAGUUGUUCUAGCAACUGGCUAUAGGAGCAAUGUGCCUUCUUGGCUAAUGGUAUUUUUUUUUUUCUUUUUGAGAUAAAAGAAGCUUCGUUUAUUUUCAAGAAAUGANAACUGGCUAUAGGAGCAAUGUGCCUUCUUGGCUAAUGGUAUUUUUUUUUUUCUUUUUGAGAUAAAAGAAGCUUCGUUUAUUUUCAAGAAAUGAAAUGAACUCAGAUAGAAUAGAAAUGUAAGUCAACUAAGUUUCAAACUUGGGACUUUUAAGUAUCAUCUAUCAAGUUCUUACCUUCUUUUUGAUUACUAGUAAACAGAAAUAGAGAAAAAGUAGUAAUGAAUAAAAGUGUUUAGGAUUACAUGUCAUCUUGAUUUGGAGACGUCCAAUAUUAUUCUAUAGCAGCUUUAUACUUUUAAAGGAAAAAAAAUUUGCUAUAUCUGGUUCAAAAUGUUGUUUCUGUAAAUUGUUGAUGUGCUGACACAUUGUUAACAGGAGAGGGAGAUGUUUUCGGAAAAAGAUGGGCUACCGAAGAAGCCCUUCCCGAAUGGGUGGAAGGGGCAGCACGGUCUCUACGCCGUGGGUUUCACGAAGCGCGGCUUGUUGGGCACGUCCAUGGACGCAGCGCGGAUCGCCGACGACAUCGAGCAGUGUUGGAAAGUUCAAAAGGCAAGCCAGCUUGUUAUGUCAUUCUCUUUGCCUGUGAUUAAUGUGAGUGCGUCAAACAUUACUACCACCACUACUACAUCAUCUUGUGAUCACGAUCAUAUUAGAUGAAGUGUAGAUUAUGUAUGGGGGUUGCGACAGGGUUUGAGAUUUUCUAAUUAUAAAGGGGGGUUAUUGUUUUAGUAUUGACUGGUUGUAUAUAUUAAUUGUAUACGGUUCAAUUGUUUUUUCAAAUUUGGAAUCACUGACUUGUAGAGAGAGAGAGAGAGAGAGAGAGAUUGGGUGCUUUUCUCAAGUAAUUUCACGUUCGUUUGCCACUAUAUAUUGUACUGAUGAUGUAAAAUCAGUAGGUGUUAGGUGUUUGGGAAAAAAUAAAAUAAAAUAAAAAUUCUAUCAGGAAUAAAAUAAUAUUCCAAUCUUAGUCUUUUAAAGAUAUAUUUUUCUAGCAUUGAAUUAAUUCUAUAGAAAAUUUUCUCACUGGGGAGGUGAAAUGAGUUCCAUAUCUUGAAAAUUGAUUGUACUUUUAUAAUU
rnacentral:lncRNA from 1 species